rnacentral:rRNA from 1 species
UGAGGAAUAUUGGUCAAUGGACGGAAGUCUGAACCAGCCAAGUAGCGUGCAGGAUGACGGCCCUAUGGGUUGUAAACUGCUUUUGUAUGGGGAUAAAGUUAGGGACGUGUCCCUAUUUGCAGGUACCAUACGAAUAAGGACCGGCUAAUUCCGUGCCAGCAGCCGCGGUAAUACGGAAGGUCCAGGCGUUAUCCGGAUUUAUUGGGUUUAAAGGGAGCGUAGGCUGGAGAUUAAGUGUGUUGUGAAAUGUAGACGCUCAACGUCUGAAUUGCAGCGCAUACUGGUUUCCUUGAGUACGCACAACGUUGGCGGAAUUCGUCGUGUAGCGGUGAAAUGCUUAGAUAUGACGAAGAACUCCGAUUGCGAAGGCAGCUGACGGGAGCGCAACUGACGCUUAAGCUCGAAGGUGCGGGUAUCGAACAGG